CACAAGAAGAAAAAAAGGAAAAAAAAGAAAAAAGAAGAAUCUUAUCACACACAAGAUGAAUUUCGAAGCUUUUCUGUUCCUUCUUCAACUAUCAGUAAUCGUUUUAUUACUCAAAGAGGAAGGAG
rnacentral:ribozyme from 1 species